UCCUCCCAAUUUGAUUUUAUGCUUGCAUAAAUGAUUUUUGGAUUCGGGACGAGUGGCGAACUGGUGAGUAACACGUGGGUAACCUGCCCUAAAGCAGGGGAUAACAUUUGGAAACAGAUGCUAAUACCGUAUAAUUAGUUGGAACCACAUGGUUCCAACUUGAAAGAUGGCUCUGCUAUCACUUUAGGAUGGACCCGCGGCGUAUUAGCUAGUUGGUGAGAUAAAAGCUCACCAAGGCGAUGAUACGUAGCCGACCUGAGAGGGUAAUCGGCCACAUUGGGACUGAGACACGGCCCAGACUCCUACGGGAGGCAGCAGUAGGGAAUCUUCCACAAUGGACGAAAGUCUGAUGGAGCAACGCCGCGUGAGUGAAGAAGGGUUUCGGCUCGUAAAACUCUGUUGUUAAAGAAGAACAAGUGUAAGAGUAACUGUUUACGCUUUGACGGUAUUUAACCAGAAAGCCACGGCUAACUACGUGCCAGCAGCCGCGGUAAUACGUAGGUGGCAAGCGUUGUCCGGGAUUUAUUUGGGCGUAAAGCGAGCGCAGGUGGUCUUUUUAGUCUGUUGUGAAAGCCUUCAGCUCAACUGAGGAAGUGCAGCGGAAACUAGGAGACUUGAGUACAGAAGAGGAUAGUGGAACUCCAUGUGUAGCGGUGAAAUGCGUAGAUAUAUGGAAGAACACCAGUGGCGAAGGCGGCUAUCUGGUCUGUUACUGACACUGAGGCUCGAAAGCAUGGGUAGCGAACAGGAUUAGAUACCCUGGUAGUCCAUGCCGUAAACGAUGAAUACUAGGUGUUGGAGGGUUUCCGCCCUUCAGUGCCGCAGCUAACGCAUUAAGUAUUCCGCCUGGGGAGUACGACCGCAAGGUUGAAACUCAAAGGAAUUGACGGGGGCCCGCACAAGUGGUGGAGCAUGUGGUUUAAUUCGAUGCUACGCGAAGAACCUUACCAGGUCUUGACAUCUUCUGCCAACCUAAGAGAUUAGGCGUUCCCUUCGGGGACAGAAUGACAGGUGGUGCAUGGUUGUCGUCAGCUCGUGUCGUGAGAUGUUGGGUUAAGUCCCGCAACGAGCGCAACCCUUAUUAUUAGUUGCCAGCAUUAAGUUGGGCACUCUAGUGAGACUGCCGGUGAUAAACCGGAGGAAGGUGGGGAUGACGUCAAAUCAUCAUGCCCCUUAUGACCUGGGCUACACACGUGCUACAAUGGAUGGUACAACGAGUCGCGAAACCGCGAGGUCAAGCUAAUCUCUUAAAGCCAUUCUCAGUUCGGAUUGCAGGCUGCAACUCGCCUGCAUGAAGUUGGAAUCACUAGUAAUCGUGGAUCAGCAUGCCACGGUGAAUACGUUCCCGGGCCUUGUACACACCGCCCGUCACACCAUGAGAGUUUGUAACACCCAAAGACGAUGGAGUAACCUUCGGGAG
rnacentral:rRNA from 2 species